rnacentral:lncRNA from 1 species
ACUUGAACGAUUUGGUACGCUUGUCAAUCCGUCAACAAGUUUUUGGCGCCGUUGUCGGGGACUUGAGGUUUACUUGUUCUCAUAAAUGUUCUCUAGGGUUUUGUGCCUAAUGUUUGCAGAAUGCAGUACGGACAAGGAUUUGAUUAUGUGGGCACUCAAUCCUACCAAAAUAAUUUCAAUCACUGGUGGGAACCUCACUCAUACAUGGAUCAAAGUCGUUAUGGACAAGCUGUAGAGCCUUAUUUCAUGCCUAUACAAAGAAGUGCAAAAUCUGAUGAACUUUUUCAGAGGAUUAUGGAUACGCGGGGCCCAACCCAUAAAAGAAUCAAAGACCAAUUACUAGAAGAAUAAAGGUUACUAAGCGCACCCCCCUUGUGCUAAAUACACCAUGGCAAUUUUCUUCACAUUUAGCACAUGUAUUUAGUGCAUUUUCGUGUAGCUUCUAGAUUCAAUAACUUUCAACACAUUUUGCACAUGCUACCACGUGUAUGAUAAUUUGUGAAUGAUGGUAGCAUGGAGCACCGUCUAGAUCUAAGGAGAUAGGCUAUAAAUCUCCUCUUCCAUCUUCAUGUAAAACACUUUUGAAUAUUGAGAGAAUUGAAAUGCUAUUGAAGCUUCUUCUCCCAUCGAAAGUCACUCCUUGUGCUUCUUUCCCUUCUCCUCUAGCUUCCUUCCUAGAGAGGGCUUUCUGAGCUAGAUUCACUUACCACUUAAAGCACUUCAUCCACCAACUUCAAUCAUAAACUACAUCUUCCGCUGCUACCUAAAUCAAGUCCAAGAACCAUUCAUAUUUGUUGUUGCCAUCUGCUCGGUUUCCUCUU